rnacentral:rRNA from 1 species
UACAGAGGGUGCGAGCGUUGUCCGGGAUUAUUGGGCGUAAAGGGCUCGUUGGCGGUCUGUUGCGUCCGCUGUGAAAACUCGGGGCUUAACCCCGAGCCUGCAGUGGAUACGGGCAGACUAGAGGUAGGUAGGGGAGAAUGGAAUUCCCGGUGUAGCGGUGAAAUGCGCAGAUAUCGGGAGGAACACCGGUGGCGAAGGCGGUUCUCUGGGCCUUACCUGACGCUGAGGAGCGAAAGCGUGGGGAGCGAACAGG